AAUACGUUCCCGGACCUUGUACACACCGCCCGUCAAGCCAUGGAAGCUGGGGGGACCUGAAGACAGUUGCCGCAAGGCGCUGUUUAGGGUUAAACUGGUAACUAGGGCUAAGUCGUAACAAGGUACCC
rnacentral:rRNA from 1 species